rnacentral:rRNA from 1 species
GACGAACGCUGGCGGCGUGCCUAAUACAUGCAAGUCGAGCGAAGCGGCGGAUGGGUGAGAAACGCGUGGGUAACCUGCACUUACGUCCGGGAUACCAUUUGGAAACAGAUGCUAAUACCGGAUACACAAGGAUGGACAGGCGAUGCAUUAGCUAGUUGGCAAGGUAACGGUUUACCAAGGCGAUGAUGCAUAGCCGAGUUGAGCGACUGAUCUGCCACAGUGGUACUGAGACACGGCCCAAACUCCUACGGGAGGCAGCAGUAGGGAAUCUUCCACCAUGGACGAAAGUCUGAUGGAGCAACGCCGCGUGAGUGAAGAAGGUUUUCGGAUCGUAAAGCUCUGUUGUUGGUGAAGCGGUAAUCAACCAGAAAGUCACGGCUAACUCCGUGCCAGCAGCCGCGGUAAUAC